UGAGUUGUUUAAAACUAUUUCAAUAGAUGAGAAGCGUGGUUGCAAAGUUUUCCCAAAUAUUCCCAAAAUAUCAACAAACUUUGUCCGUCCCUUUCCAGAUCUGUUUUUCUUUCCUCAUAACCUUCUUCCAUGUCUGUCUAGACAAUGAAUUCUGUUUUCUCCAAUGGAAGAAAUGGAAACGCACUAGGAACUUGUGCAUGCAAUCAUGAUACUGUGGCGUAACAUGUUGACAUAUGCCAGUGGAGUUGCUCCACUUACUUGCAUGUCCAUUUCAGCAUUACAGUCCAUUACAGCAAAUAGGAAAUUAUAUAGUUCAUGAUAGUCUUCUAUCAUGAUGAACUUCGGAGAACUGCACUGUCUUGCUCUUGGCUAAGAGCAUAAACAUACACAGCUAUGGCAGUUGACCACAGUAAUUUGUGAAGCUGCAAAAAUUUGAUUUGUCUGUAAAGAAUGUAGCUGUCUCAGUCUUCAAGUAUUUGUUUCUCCAGCAGGUGGAGAAAAAUAUCCCUAGCAAGUUACUGUAACAGGAAUGAACCGCUAGGGAGAGCUGUAAAAAAAAUACCACAACGUACAACUGUUCUGACAGCUUAUACGAUAUGCUAACAAAUUGUGGUUUUAGUCUCAUAUGUAUGUUAGCAUGCUUUUAGCAGACUUUCAGCAUGGUAAUUCCCAUCAGAGUAACAAGACUGUGAGCAAGUUCAGGCCUACCUAAGUAUUGCAAUUUUAUUUAAACAUCCAGGGCAGCUCAAAUAGCAAAGGGUGUUGAGAGGUAAUGCUGUGCUCCAGGAAGAUGGCCACACUCGGUAAAAACUCGGGACUUCCUUAAGAGAGCAGCUGUAGCUUCUUGGGUAAGAAAGGUAGAGGUAGGAAAGGAAGAAACUAACUUUUUAAAGAUUUCCCUUAAGGGAAGUGACAAGAAGGAUUGGUAAAGGCUCAGUUGACUUCUAUCCUGACUUGGGACAACGGAAGGAGAAUAUGAGAAGCUUUGUUCAUAUUUCAGGAAGCGUAUUCAUGACUUGUGUCUCAGAAGGGACCAGAUCUAUUGGUUGUCCUCACAGCACAUGGCAGAGAUAUGUAUCUAUCAAUAUACUUUCUUGUAAAGGAGAAUGGACCUUUGUCAAGAAGAAGAGAAAGCUAUGAAACAGGAAUUGCAGUAACUCGGGAUCAGCCUUGUUAUUUGAUCUUUCUCAAAGUACUUUAUGGGAAGGGCUGGAUGAAGAAGCAAAUCCUGCUUCUCUGAGAGCUACCUUAGUUCAACAUCCUGGAAUUGCAUGUGGGACUACCAGGACAUCCUUCCAUCCUUCAGUUUCUGCAGCACUCAUGGAGCCCAAUCUGAUAAGAGCUCUGAACUUUCAACAUGGGUAGGGCUUAGAUAAAGGGACAGCCCACUAUUCUGAAUUCUUUUAGUGGAGUAGGUACCUGCUGUUUCUACUUGUUCAAUAAAAUCUGUUAACUUGCACAUCAAGCUGUUAUCACUCUUUGGUAAGUGAAAUCACUGUGGAAGAUAAACUCUUUUUACCAGUGGCAGGAGAGAAAUCCCAUUUUAUCUGUUUUUUCCUUUGGACCAGAAGACCAAGACCAGAGCAACAGGCAUGUGUAGCAUCUUUCACCUGCCUGCUCUUAAGCAUUUACUGUUGAAUACAGUUCCUAUAGUAGGAGUCUAGACAGACUCUGGUCACUGUAAAAAAAAAAAAAAGAAAAAACCAAAAAACACAAAAACCCCCCAAACUUUACUUUAGGGUGACAGGUCUCUCUUGGGUGAGUGGCAAUAGCCCAAUAUAGAGACCUUAGAGGCUUAAAGCAGAGAGGCUGUAAAAAGUCAGCAGGUCAGCAUGUACAUACAAAAACCUUGAAAUUCAGUUGCUGAAGUACCAGCCAGAUCUCUCUUGAAGGAUGUCCAUGUGUUCUGGAGAAUACAGAAAAAAUAAAUACUGCCUUACUGGAUCAGAGCAUAGUCAGUAUCUAUGUCUAACAGCAGCUGUAGGAGAUGGUGCUUACAGGAAGCAGGCAGACCUGGUCGAUUUAUGCAGUCCAGUGCAGUUGUAUUCUGCCAGCAUCCACACUUCUUGUAUUACAGGUUGUUAAAGGCUGCAUCCCUGACUCUAUCUUCUAGUAUCAUUUUGUGGAUGUGUAGUCUAUCAGUUUGAUUCCUUUUGAAUGUGCUGAUGCUCUUUUUCUGCAGUAUACUGUGGCAGAAAGUUCAAGAGGUUUCCUGACCUCUGUGUAGUAGACUUUUGCUGUAUUUGUUUUGAAAGAUCUAAUAGUUUCUGUGAUUUCGCGAGCAACAGUUCUGCUUUCACCUUACCCAUAAACAUCUUAAUUUCUUCUCUCCAAAUUGGAGAGUCACAGUCUUUUCAAUUUCUUCUCAUAAGGUCAGCAGCUCCUUGGUGAUUUUAAUUGCCCCUUCUGUACCUUCUCUUUUUUCACCAUGUCUUUCUUAGACAGGGAGACCAGAACUGCACACAGUAUUCCAGAAUUAGGUGAACAACGGUUUUACACUGGCAAAAUAAUACCUGGUACGUUGUUCUCAAUAUUUUUUUCUGAUGAUGUCCAAUAUUGUGUUGCCACUUGUGGGUGCCACUGCACAUUGAGCUGGUGUUUCCAGAAAACUGUCAGUGGUGACUCCAGGAUCCUGAGAUGUAACUUCCAGUUCCAAGUUUAGUAUUUUGAGCAUCAUUUACAGAAUUUUUCUUUAGAAACCUCACUUUUAUCUAAAUUGAAUCUCAUUGCCACUUUUUUGCCCCCUAUGUUCAUUUUUAUGUCCUUCUGGACAUAAAAUCCUUGCAAUUGUAACAGCAUUUAACUACUUGAAAAACUUAGGAUCAUGCAGAAGUUUGAAGACUUGACUUUACCAGCACACUGGUGAGAACAUUGAAUAAAACUGAUCACAACACUAGUCUUGGGAACUGCACUGUUGGGUUUUGUGCAUUUUGAAAGGAGAAUGACUGUUAAAUUCUACCUUUUGCGUUUUGUUUUCCUAUAAUUAGCUUUCUAUUUAAAAAAAACACAA